rnacentral:rRNA from 1 species
UACGUAGGGUGCGAGCGUUAUUCGGAAUUACUGGGCGUAAAGGGCUCGUAGGCGGCCCACUAAGUCAUACGUGAAAUCCCUCGGCUUAACCGGGGAACUGCGUCUGAUACUGGAUGGCUUGAGUUCGGGAGAGGGAUGCGGAAUUCCAGGUGUAGCGGUGAAAUGCGUAGAGAUCGGGAGGAACAUCAGUUGCGAAGGCGGCUCUCUGGACUAGCACUGACACUGAGGCACGAAAGCGUGGGGAGCAAACGGG